UCUCCUGGAAAACGGGUGGUAAUGCCGGAUGCUCCAGUUGAUCGCAUGGUCUUCUGGGAAAGCUUUCGCGGUAUGGGAUGGGGUCGCGUCCUAUCAGCUUGACGGCGGGGUAACGGCCCACCGUGGCUUCGACGGGUAGCCGGCCUGAGAGGGCGACCGGCCACAUUGGGACUGAGAUACGGCCCAGACUCCUACGGGAGGCAGCAGUGGGGAAUAUUGCACAAUGGGCGCAAGCCUGAUGCAGCGACGCCGCGUGAGGGAUGGAGGCCUUCGGGUUGUAAACCUCUUUUAUCGGGGAGCAAGCGAGAGUGAGUUUACCCGUUGAAUAAGCACCGGCUAACUACGUGCCAGCAGCCGCGGUAAUACGUAGGGUGCAAGCGUUAUCCGGAAUUAUUGGGCGUAAAGGGCUCGUAGGCGGUUCGUCGCGUCCGGUGUGAAAGUCCAUCGCUUAACGGUGGAUCCGCGCCGGGUACGGGCGGGCUUGAGUGCGGUAGGGGAGACUGGAAUUCCCGGUGUAACGGUGGAAUGUGUAGAUAUCGGAAAAGAACACCA
rnacentral:rRNA from 3 species